UACGUAGGUGGCAAGCGUUAUCCGGAAUUAUUGGGCGUAAAGCGCGCGUAGGCGGUUUUUUAAGUCUGAUGUGAAAGCCCACGGCUCAACCGUGGAGGGUCAUUGGAAACUGGAAAACUUGAGUGCAGAAGAGGAAAGUGGAGUUCCAUGUGUAGCGGUGAAAUGCGCAGAGAUAUGGAGGAACACCAGUGGCGAAGGCGACUUUCUGGUCUGUAACUGACGCUGAUGUGCGAAAGCGUGGGGAUCAAACAGGAU
rnacentral:rRNA from 1 species